rnacentral:rRNA from 1 species
UACGUAGGGUGCAAGCGUUAAUCGGAAUUACUGGGCGUAAAGCGUGCGCAGGCGGUUAUGCAAGACAGAUGUGAAAUCCCCGGGCUUAACCUGGGAACUGCAUUUGAGACUGCAUAGCUAGAGUACGGUAGAGGGGGAUGGAAUUCCGCGUGUAGCAGUGAAAUGCGUAGAUAUGCGGAGGAACACCGAUGGCGAAGGCAAUCCCCUGGACCUGUACUGACGCUCAUGCACGAAAGCGUGGGGAGCAAACAGG